AGAUUAAGUUAUUAAGGGCGCACGGUGGAUGCCUUGGCACUAGAAGCCGAUGAAGGACGUUACUAACGACGAUAUGCUUUGGGUAGCUGUAAGUAAGCGUUGAUCCAGAGAUUUCCGAAUGGGGGAACCCAGCAUGAGUUAUGUCAUGUUAUCGACAUGUGAAUUCAUAGCAUGUCAGAAGGCAGACCCGGAGAACUGAAACAUCUUAGUACCCGGAGGAAGAGAAAGAAAAAUCGAUUCCCUGAGUAGCGGCGAGCGAAACGGGAAGAGCCCAAACCAACAAGCUUGCUUGUUGGGGUUGUAGGACACUCUAUACGGAGUUACAAAAGAACAUGUUAGACGAAUCAUCUGGAAAGAUGAAUCAAAGAAGGUAAUAAUCCUGUAGUCGAAAACAUAUUCUCUCUUGAGUGGAUCCUGAGUACGACGGAGCACGUGAAAUUCCGUCGGAAUCUGGGAGGACCAUCUCCUAAGGCUAAAUACUCUCUAGUGACCGAUAGUGAACCAGUACCGUGAGGGAAAGGUGAAAAGUACCCCGGAAGGGGAGUGAAAGAGAACUUGAAACCGUGUGCUUACAAGUAGUCAGAGCCCGUUAAUGGGUGAUGGCGUGCCUUUUGUAGAAUGAACCGGCGAGUUACGAUCUGAUGCAAGGUUAAGCAGCAAAUGUGGAGCCGCAGCGAAAGCGAGUCUGAAUAGGGCGUUGAGUAUUUGGUCGUAGACCCGAAACCAGGUGAUCUACCCUUGGUCAGGUUGAAGUUCAGGUAACACUGAAUGGAGGACCGAACCGACUUACGUUGAAAAGUGAGCGGAUGAACUGAGGGUAGCGGAGAAAUUCCAAUCGAACUUGGAGAUAGCUGGUUCUCUCCGAAAUAGCUUUAGGGCUAGCCUCAAGUGAUGAUUAUUGGAGGUAGAGCACUGUUUGGACGAGGGGCCCCUCUCGGGUUACCGAAUUCAGACAAACUCCGAAUGCCAAUUAAUUUAACUUGGGAGUCAGAACAUGGGUGAUAAGGUCCGUGUUCGAAAGGGAAACAGCCCAGACCACCAGCUAAGGUCCCAAAAUAUAUGUUAAG
rnacentral:rRNA from 1 species